rnacentral:lncRNA from 1 species
AAAAUUCUCACAAGAUUAAAUUCAAUAAAAAAUUUGGCAAAAAGCCCCUUACAAUUGAAAGAAAACAAAUACUUAUAGGUACAUAGAUGACCAUUCAAAUUCGGCAUCUAGGUGUUCACACAAUAAUAAAAAUGUUCACACUAAUGUAUUAAAAUAGUUCAUAAAUUUGGCAGAUUCAUGAACUGGUUGAAUGGACACUUUCUUCCCCCUAAGUGUGUGCAUGAAUGCUUAAUCAUAAAGAAAGGCUUCAAGUGACUUGUAUGUGCACCAAAGGUUGCAUUCAUCUCCUUGGGACGUUCAUGCACUUGUAUGGAACAUGUAUCCUCAUAAUUAAACUCUUUAAUAGCAUGUAGGUUCAUAAACGGCAGCAUGAACCUAGUAAAUUCGUUCUCCCCUUUGUGCAUACAAUUAAUUCAAUCAAUGUGUUGAAUUAUUGAGUUAAUUCCUUCCUUUGGACGUUCUUGAACCCAUCCAUGCAUGUGUAGUAGCUUAUAGGUCAAUUCAAAGUGUGAACAGCUACUUCUUGGCCGAAUAAGUGCCUUGGAAAGUUAGGAGACAGCCACCAUACAUGCACUUAAGCCAUUCAUGCAUUCUAUCAUCCCAUGCAUUUGAUCUAUUCAUGGACUAGCCUUUAAUGUCCAUACAUGCAUUCGACACAUGCAUGAAUUUGUAGAAACCUUGCAUUUAGCCGUACAUGCACCAGCAUUUAAUACUUCUUCAUUCAUGAGUGUGGAAUGCCCAAAAGAGAUGUUUCUUCAUCCAUACAUUGUACCAUCCAAAGGGAUGUACCUACAUGAAAUAAACAAGUCAUUAAGAUAUCUCAUGAACACUCAUAAAUUCGGCAUGAUGUGAACACAUUAAUGUCAUGCAUUAAUUCAGCUAUGUGAACAUAAUCAAUUUAUGUAAUGACUAUGACAUAUUAAUAACAAAUAUUAAUAUAAGACAAGUUUAAUACUUAAAUAAAUAUGUGCAAAUUUUUAUUUAAUGCAUUAAAGACAAAACCGAGUUUAAACAAAAAUGAGCUAAGCUUUAGCUUGUGAGCUAAAGUUGAGCUGAGAUUAAACUCCUAAGCUGAAGUUGAGCUAAGGUUUAGCUCGUGAGUUGAAAGUGAGCUAGGAGUGAGCUCGAUUUAGCUCAGACAAGAUGGAUUGAGCUCGAAUAAGCUGGAUUUGAGCUGGACGGAGCUCGUGGAGCUGGAAACGGGCUGGGAUCAGCUUGCCAACAUGUCAUUGCUCGGCUUGACAGACUUGCUCGAUAAAGUUCAUGGGGCGUGCUCGUAUCAUUCUAGAUGCUGGUUAUUCAGCUAAACAUUGAUGGAAUUAAAUGAUGUGACCCAGCCCGGGUUAAUUGAGUCGUUUCACGUAAUUUCCCGAUCGUCGACGAGGAAUAGUUGAGUUAUCGAAAAUAGGAUGAAAUAAGGCUAAAGAUGCGGAAGCUUUCAAAUGGUUUUAAAGGUUGGCUAAGGUGAUGGUAAAUUUAUAAGGGUAGUAGGCUUGAUUUAAGGAUAAAAAUAAGAAAAAUGGAAGUUGAUAAAUGAAGGCUCGGUUUUGUAAAAAGAUAUUAUAGUUGGGUAAAAUCUAGGGUAUUCGGUGGAAUGGAUAAAUGAGCUUAAACACCAGAAACGAUUCAACACUAAAAAGUGUCACCCCGAUUUCUAUUCGGUUGAAGGUGGGAUUACGGAAUUGUGGAAAGGUUGAACGCCACACCAAAGCAAGGUGAUAAGUUCAAAAGAGAACGAUAGACGCCACUAGCACGCUAGAUAAGUCAGAUCGAAACUCGUACGAAUUUUGAGAGGAGAAAACUCACUCUUUGAACAAAGUUCAUUCAAAUGAUCAAAAGUCAAAAGUCCUUUACAAAUGAAAUUAAUCAACUAUUUAUAGCCAAAGCUUAGGCUAGCUGAAUAGUCAAUAUCUAACUUAAAAACUAAGUAAAUAAAUAAAUAAAAAAAUAAAAAUCUGUAAACUACCAUAGAAAGGUUCGGCUGAAUGAAAUUAAGGCUGGAAAUUAAAGCUCCUAGUUGUUGCCACAUGCAUGCACAUCUUGCUUCAAAAUACAUGCAUAGCCGAAUUCAUGAUCUUCAUUAAAUGUGUUCAUUGGAUCAACAAAUGCAUGUCCAGCAGCCUCCUUAAUUCAAUCUUCAAAAUACAUGCAUGAUUGAAUGCAUGUUCUACUUGGGAAAAUGGAAUGGGCGGCCAGAUUUAAUGUGAACAGUCAAGUUCUUUGUCUCCAUGAAAAGGUGCUUGGAGAAUAGCAAUCAGCAGCCUAAAUUCAUCUUGAAUACAACUCCACAUUCAUGUAUCCUUUGCUGU